CGUCAUUCGCUCUCUCAAAAAGUCACAUAAAAAAAAAAAUAAUAAUAAUUGACCGCGUAGUUUUUGAGUUAUGGCCAUAGCAACACCAUAGCAACGAGGGACGCGCCGUCCUGCCGACCCCUACCUCAUGACGUAACUUCCAGGAAGCCUCACCACCACUCUGAACGCGGAAAUAUAGCACCACGCUAUCCUCGCCAUAUAUUGCAUACAUUUUCUGGGUUUUACUCGCGGGAUUCGUCAUGCCAUCUCGAUGUGUAGCGAUGAAUUACUCACAGGAAGAUUCGAGACUCUAGGAGUGGUCCCAAAAAAACUUCUCCUGCAAAGCCACGACAGCUUAGAAAACCUACAACAAUGCAACCUUGGUUUUGCAAAGACGAAGCCUAACAUAAAAAAUUAAGUGGCGGAAACCCUCAACACGAUGAAAAAAGCGUUGCAAGUCAGUUGCCACCCAGUUGCCACCCAGUUUCCCAAAAUCAAGAGAGAGUGGGUCGAGUCAUAUGAUGACCGAAGUGAUGCGGUGUCCAGCGAUGACGACUGAAGAGAUCCUAUGAGGCCUGCCAGAUGCUGAAUUUCUUCCGUCUGCGACAUCAGAUGACGAUGAUUUAGGAGAAAUAAAUGUAGCAAAUUUUGAUGACAUGAAAUCAUAAACUAGUCAUAUAUACAGUACACAUUUUUUAAAAGAAAAAUCAAGUUACCUUCAUAUUUUAAUGAUAAUGCAUUAUCUUUGUAUAGAGAACACUUCAUGCUACAGAAAAGAGUAAAUACAUAUACAUAAAUCUGGUAUCAUUUAUUAUUGUGGCCUAUUAAAUAUUUUUUCAGAAUGUAAUAUAAUUACAAUAUAUUAUAUACCAAUAGAAUACAUUAAACAGUCAACAAAAUGUGUCAAUGUUGUUACCAAUUUAUGGUUUUAUUUUUUUUAUGUAAUUCAUGCCCCUGUCAGUGCUUCAGCCUCCUCAAGUUUGGCUCUCACGUCUGGGAUCUCUUGAUGACACAGGCAUACUCUUGGAAGGGUAAUUACUUGACGGUUUACAGCAACACCUGGAAAAUAAAAUGGUUUUGUCAUUUAUUUUGAAAUAUCAAUAACAUACUUAGCCACAUUUGGGCUAGCUUUAUCAUAUUUAGAUCGGUAGGAGCUGUCCCAUUACGUAAUAUCCAGUUUUAGCUAUGUGUAGAGCAUUCAUUUAGCCAAAUUUGGGCUAGCUUUAUCAUAUUUAGAUCGGUAGGAGCUGUCCCAUUACCUAAUAUCCAGUUUUAGCUAUGUGUAGAGCAUGGAAAAAAUAUACAACCAUGUAAUCGCAUUCUGAUUUUAAAAAUCACGA